CGUGGGUAACCUGCCCAAGAGAUCGGGAUAACACCUGGAAACAGAUGUCUAAUACCGGAUAACAACAGAUGAUGCCUAUCAACUGUUUAAAAGAUGGUUCUGCUAUCACUCUUGGAUGGACCUGCGGUGCAUUAGCUAGUUGGUAGGGUAACGGCCUACCAAGGCGAUGAUGCAUAGCCGAGUUGAGAGACUGAUCGGCCACAUUGGGACUGAGACACGGCCCAAACUCCUACGGGAGGCAGCAGGG
rnacentral:rRNA from 1 species